AGUUUUUCGAGCGCUCGGCAAAAAGCCUAAAUUAAUAAAAGUGCAACGUCGCACUCUAAUGGCGAAUAUAGCCCUGGAAUAUUUCAUGGUGCGCUCGUGGCAUUUCGUAAAUGAUAAUUUCAUGAGCCUGCGCUCGAUGCUCAAGCCGCACGAUCGGAAACAAUUCUUCUUCUCGUCAAAGGGAGUCCAGUCGCUGGAAAAUAUGGUGAACAUCGGUCUGAGAAUCAGAAAAGAUCUUCUGCAUCAAGACGAAAAAACAUUGCCCAAAUGGAAGAAAAUUUAUGAAUGGUA